GAUGAACGCUGGCGGCGUGCCUAAUACAUGCAAGUCGAGCGAACGGACGAGAAGCUUGCUUCUCUGAUGUUAGCGGUGGACGGGUGAGUAACACGUGGAUAACCUACCUAUAAGACUGGGAUAACUUCGGGAAACCGUAGCUAAUACCGGAUAAUAUUUUGAACCGCAUGGUUCAAAAGUGAAAGACGGUCUUGCUGUCACUUAUAGAUGGAUCCGCGCUGCAUUAGCUAGUUGGUAAGGUAACGGCUUACCAAGGCAACGAUGCAUAGCCGACCUGAGAGGGUGGACGGCAACCGGGCGACGGAGAGAGGCAGCAGACGGCGAUGGGAGGCAACAGGUGGGAAUAUUGAAAAAUGGGCCGAAGGGAGAUGCAAAAACGCAGCGAGCGGGAUGCAGGUCUUCGGGUUGUAAACAGCGUUCGACUGAGACGACGCGUGAGGGACGGUAAUGGGUAAAGAAGCAACGGCUAACUACGUG
rnacentral:rRNA from 1 species